AGUCGACGGUGAACACGGAGCUUGCUCUGUGGGAUCAGUGGCGAACGGGUGAGUAACACGUGAGCAACCUGCCCCUGACUCUGGGAUAAGCGCUGGAAACGGCGUCUAAUACUGGAUACGAACCACGAAGGCAUCUUCAGUGGUUGGAAAGAAUUUCGGUUGGGGAUGGGCUCGCGGCCUAUCAGCUUGUUGGUGAGGUAAUGGCUCACCAAGGCGUCGACGGGUAGCCGGCCUGAGAGGGUGACCGGCCACACUGGGACUGAGACACGGCCCAGACUCCUACGGGAGGCAGCAGUGGGGAAUAUUGCACAAUGGGCGCAAGCCUGAUGCAGCAACGCCGCGUGAGGGAUGACGGCCUUCGGGUUGUAAACCUCUUUUAGCAGGGAAGAAGCGAAAGUGACGGUACCUGCAGAAAAAGCGCCGGCUAACUACGUGCCAGCAGCCGCGGUAAUACGUAGGGCGCAAGCGUUAUCCGGAAUUAUUGGGCGUAAAGAGCUCGUAGGCGGUUUGUCGCGUCUGCUGUGAAAUCCGGAGGCUCAACCUCCGGCCUGCAGUGGGUACGGGCAGACUAGAGUGCGGUAGGGGAGAUUGGAAUUCCUGGUGUAGCGGUGGAAUGCGCAGAUAUCAGGAGGAACACCGAUGGCGAAGGCAGAUCUCUGGGCCGUAACUGACGCUGAGGAGCGAAAGGGUGGGGAGCA
rnacentral:rRNA from 1 species